AGGGGUGGAGGGGAUCAAACAACUCCUUUCUCUCUUCCCUUACCUGCUAGGUAGAAAUUAGUUUCUCAAGUAUCUUGAAGAACUGAUCAACGUCCUCCCGAAGUGAUCCCAACUAGGCUGCUCUAUUUAGCGGGGUGUCUUAUCUCUUCAUUUUUUUUACCUAUAUUUCAUAACAAUGGCUUACGAUUUGGGUUCCAUUAAAUUUAUUCUAACCUUAUGGGUAAGGAAUAGUUUCGAGGAAUAAUGCAGCUUUGAUACUAACUAUAAAAGCCCAAAACUCAUAACAAGAAUUUCAAGGAUUUUGAACCAAUCAUGAUAAAGGUAAUAGUAAUAACAAUCAUAAUAAUACUGAAUUCCUUUAUUCAGUGGAAGAAUUAACUCUUCAAAGAUUAUAUUCCUUACAUGUUUACUUAAAAUGCCUAACUAGGGGCUAUGAGAAUGCUUCAGAACUUAAAAAG
rnacentral:lncRNA from 1 species